AUUGAACGCUGGCGGCAGGCCUAACACAUGCAAGUCGAGCGGAUGAAGGGAGCUUGCUCCUGGAUUCAGCGGCGGACGGGUGAGUAAUGCCUAGGAAUCUGCCUGGUAGUGGGGGAUAACGUCCGGAAACGGGCGCUAAUACCGCAUACGUCCUGAGGGAGAAAGUGGGGGAUCUUCGGACCUCACGCUAUCAGAUGAGCCUAGGUCGGAUUAGCUAGUUGGUGGGGUAAAGGCCUACCAAGGCGACGAUCCGUAACUGGUCUGAGAGGAUGAUCAGUCACACUGGAACUGAGACACGGUCCAGACUCCUACGGGAGGCAGCAGUGGGGAAUAUUGGACAAUGGGCGAAAGCCUGAUGCAGCAAUGCCGCGUGUGUGAAGAAGGUCUUCGGAUUGUAAAGCUCUGUAAGUUGGGAGGAAGGGCAGUAAGUUAAUACCUGGCUGUUUUGACGUUACCAACGGAAUAAGCCCCGGCUAACUUCGUG
rnacentral:rRNA from 1 species